UGGGGAAUAUUGCACAAUGGGCGAAAGCCUGAUGCAGCGACGCCGCGUGAGGGAUGACGGCCUUCGGGUUGUAAACCCCUUUCGACAGGGACGAAGCGCAAGUGACGGUACCUGUAGAAGAAGCACCGGCCAACUACGUGCCAGCAGCCGCGGUAAUACGUAGGGUGCGAGCGUUGUCCGGAAUUACUGGGCGUAAAGAGCUUGUAGGCGGUCUGUCGCGUCGAUUGUGAAAUCUUGCAGCUCAACUGCGAGCCUGCAGUCGAUACGGGCAGACUAGAGUACUUCAGGGGAGACUGGAAUUCCUGGUGUAGCGGUGAAAUGCGCAGAUAUCAGGAGGAACACCGGUGGCGAAGGCGGGUCUCUGGGAAGUAACUGACGCUGAGAAGCGAAAGCGUGGGUAGCAAACAG
rnacentral:rRNA from 1 species